GAAAGCUGAGCAGUUCACCACCUGUCAAAGAAUCCCACAUUCCCUCAUCUGUAGAUCACUUUCCAAAUGAAGCCCCACCCAACACCAUUAAGCCUUCAAGUAUUGCUCUUCCGCCUUCUAUAUCAUCGUUUCAAAGUCCUGCAAAGAAGUGGAUGCACAGUCCUACAUAUUCACCUUCAAUCUCAAGUAACAGAAAUCUUCGUCAUCAUCAUGCAAGGAAUCAUCAUAGCACUCCUGGACCAUCUUAUUUGAUUCCUCCACCAAGUUACAAUCAAAUAGCUCCAUCAGUCCCUUCGUUCCACUCUUCUUCUCCUUCAUCAAUGAGCUGGGAUUCUCUUGCACCUGCAUUAUCACCAACUGCACCAAAGAGCCAUUUUAGUGUGCACAUCCAUCCUCCUGCAAUGUCUCCAUUGAAUUCUAACUUGAAGAAGAUGAAGGCUCCACAACCAUCACAAAUUUUGUCUCUACCACCUCCACCUCCAAAUGGAGAUUGUGCAUCAGUAACAUGCGCAGAACCACUAACAUAUACUCCUCCUGGGACAUUUUGUGGAUGCGUAUGGCCUAUUCAAGUUAAACUCCGUCUUGGUGUUGCAAUAUACUCAUUCUUCACUUUGGUUACAG
rnacentral:misc_RNA from 1 species